UCUAUUUCUUCAUUUUCAACUCUCCCACAGAGCUAUUUUUCUUCUUCCAUGGAGCAAACCCCACCCCAUCUUCUUCUUCUUCUUCUUCCAGUGAAGUUUUUGAUUGAGAAUUAAAAGGGAUCUUCUUAGUUGUUAUGUAAGAACUAAGAAUCUCCUUUUUCGUUCAUCUUUCUGGAUCAAACCCCUAUUUUUCAGUUCAUCUUUCUAGGUCAAAUUCCAUAUCUUCAAUUUUCUUUUCUCUCAUCCAUGUCGAAAAACAAAUGUUCUAUCCUGAUUUAAGAUUCUGUGUCUGAAUCAUCCAUUGGAGCUGCUACGGGUGUUAAUUUAAAUUUGCAAGUUGUAUGCUGGUCAGGUAAUCUUACAUAAAGAUUAUGCUGGCCAAGUCCAUUCUUUGGCCAUAGAGGCUGCACCAACCACAGACCUGAAUGGAGAUAAUGUUCCUAUUAUCUCGAGGAAUAUUGCAUAAAAGUGCGUGGGGAAAUUUCGAUGAAAUCAUGUACAUAAACAACCAUACAGCUUUUUAAGCUUAAUGGGUGGACUGAUCACUGAUUCUGUGUCGGAAUCAUCGAAUGGAGCUGCUACGGGUGUUAAUUCAAUUCCAGCACGUUUCGUUUGGAUUGGUGGAUCUUUUACAAGUAAUUUCAGGGUGGGUCGACAAGAUAUCAUCUAAGCUUGAGGUGGCUACAAUCUACAAGUAUGAACUCAUAUAACCGAAUAUAGUAUCCCCAUCUCAAUUUAGUUUAUGUCAAUUUCACAAUUUUCAGUUUUAAAUUUGGUAAACUGAUAAGUUAGGGUUCCAAAUUUCAGAGUUACAGUUUGUGGUUUUUCCUGAAUCUGUCUUUAAUCUCAAAUUGAUGACUAAGAUAUUGUUCACAACUCGGUUCUGAAGUGCUAUUGAGUUGAAUAUCUCAGUGACUUGAAAAUCUAGCUUAAUUGAGAGAUGUGUAAUUGCCAAUAAAUCCUCUGCUUAAUUGUAGAUGGUCUUUGAAUGAAAAGGAAAUAAGGCAGUUAUGCUCAUACCUUCAUGAUUUGAAGAAGGCUUCUGCUAAGGAUUUGUGUAAGAGUGUUUAUGCCAAUUAUAUAGCUUUUAUACAAUAGAUGGCGACUCUACGAGACAUAGGGAUUGCAGCGGGUAUCAAUAUCAUAUAUGCCUUUGCUUGCUUUGUCAACCUUUCAAUGAUAGAGUAUACUUUCCCAAAUGGUAUCUCAAGGGUCUAAGAAGCAGUCCGGCAGGCUCAGGAGCAUUAACCAAGUUCGUCAAUUGAGAAAUUUGGUCGUACCUCACGUUUUCAAAUUGGAUGCCAGCUGCACUUAGAAUGCCUGAACCUGCGUUGAUUGAACAUGCAUGACCUGCUUCAGCUAUAUACUUAAGGAUUUACUUACUCAGACUUAAAAGCUGAAUGAUGGUAGCUUAAAAUGUUUAAAAAUUGUACUUUGUGGGGUAAUCUUUCAAGUUGCAUGAUGGUAGUUGAGAAAAGGUUUAGCAUUUCAUUUCUUCGGGGUAGUCUUUCAGGUUGUUUGUCUUUCUUCUGCUGACUUUUAUAAUAAUUAGAGGCGGACCACAAUCUUCGCGAAAAAAUUAGAACGCAAACUUCAUUUUUGUGUAAAGCCUUCGAAGCAUAAUCUUAUUUGUGAAGACCCAGAUGGAGGUUUUAAGCCUACUGGUGAGAAGUGCAGGAACUGAGUUUUAAAAGCAAACCAAAUGCAUGGGCGUACUUCUCUGUAAAGUCUGGAGGAGGUAUUCACGAGUUCUCGGGUUCUCAAUUUGGUUAUCUUCAUAACCUUAGGCGGAGCAUAUACAGCUGCCCUAUCACAGCUAGUUUCCUCUGCGGUUGCUCAAGCUGCUACUGAUUCUAUGUCUGUUUUUGGUAAUGAGCUUCAUCUGAACUUGUAGUUUGGGCCACCAAAUCUUUGUUUAAAGCUGGAGAGAAGAAGAUGGGAACCGAUGAAAAGACUUUCAUCCACAUUUUUUGUAUCGCAAGUAGGGCACAUUUGGCUGUUGUUAGUGCUGCGUAUGAAAUUCACUUAUUGGUGCUUCUGUAAAAUGGGAGGUGGAUCCCUACCGAUCAGAGCUAGUUUUCUUCUUCCAUGGAGCAAACCCAACCCCAUCUUCUUCUUCCAAUGAAGUUUGUGAUUGAGAAUUAAAAGGGAUCUUCAUAGUUGUUAUGUAAAAAUCUCUUUUUUCGUUCAUCUUUCUAGAUCAAAUUCCAAUUUCCAGUUCAUCUUUCUAGGUCAAAAUUCCUAAUCCUCAAUUUUUCUUUUUUCCCAUCCAUGUGAUAAUCGAAAAACAAAUUACUUGUUGGCUGUUGCUGGUAGAGAAGAAGACGACAGAGACAUUGAAAGACAAAGGGGGCAGUGGCAUCACCACGAGGUCUCAUCUUAUCAAACUAAAUGCAAAGCAUCGGUGAGUGACCCUGAUGCCUGAUUUGAUGAUGUUAUGUGACAUGGAGCAGGAAAAUGGAUGGACUGACCUCAAAGAAUACGUGGUGGUAAACAUGGAGUUAACAAUUUGUGGAUGGAAAAUGUAAAAUCAGUGAUUGAGAGGUUUCUUGACGUUCCAAUGAAUGUUUAAACACAAUAUGGGCAGAAAGAAGGAGAUGGUGAAGGAUUUGGGCGACACAGUCAAAUCAGAUGACCAAAGACUUGAUUGGGAAGAUGUGUUUUACAUGUCUGGAGGAGGUAUUCACGAGUUCUCGGAUUCUCAAUUUGCUUAAUACAAUGUCCUGUCAACUUGCGCCCUUACAUGGAUCAUUUUAUUACGCGUGACUUGAUUAUGUCUCUGAAUCAUCGAUUGGAGCUGCUACGGGUGUUAAUUUGAAUUUGCAAGGAGGUCAAUAGGUUCCAGGACUUCGAGAACGAGCUAAAGUUCCAUGGGUAUGAAGGAAUCUGGAAGAUGCGUAUAGGACAAGCAAUUGAUGGAUGUGCGAUUUUUUUGGCACACAACGAGAUUCAAAUUGCGGCACGAAGGAUCCAUAGAGUUCAGAAACCUUGUACUUUGUGAUAUGUUGCACAAAUUUGUGUUCUCGAGUCAAGGAACCAAAACUCCACUGACAAGGUGUCUGCAAAUUUGCCUGCAAGCAUGGAGAGCCUGGUGCUGCGGUGGUAGACUUUCAACCUGUGGAUAUAGUGAUUUCUCAUGUUCUCGACCAAAUAUUGUCAACGGAUUUUCGAUAUCCAUUGUGAAGGCGGAUGAAUCCAUAUUGAAGCAAUUGGAUGCUCCAACUAGGGCUCCUUCAUGGCCAAUUGGUGCUGAUGGUAAGAUUAGAGGAUCAUCUUGUGAUUAUAUGUUUUUAUCUGCUGUCCCUUAUCAAGGGUAUGUGCUAUGUUAAAUGCCACUGCGAUUUGGUAGGAACUAAAACUUCUUGUGACUUUAUGUGUUGUGAUACCAUCUUUACCACUAAAUACUCCUAAUGUUUUAUUUUACUCUGAGCUUAUUAGCAAUAUUGUGACUUCUGAGUAAGCAUCCGUUCUGGAUGGUCAUGA